UGGAAUUUAUGGAAUUGAUUCAUGCAAAAAUGAAUCGGGCUUUGGUGGGGGCCCGACAUAUGUGACUUCAUGAUUGAUUGACUGACUGAUUUGAUUUGACUGCCAUGCAUGAUUGAUUUAUUCUGAUCUGUGAUGUGUAUGAGAUUAUUUCGUAACUGUGCUCUAACCCUAUGUCUUGAUAGCGCAUGGCGGCUCGUCACCUAGGUACGUGUCCACUCUCAUUCUUGUAAUUCUCUCUGCAUGUAUUGAUUCUCAUAUGUGCGAUCAUGCUGAGUAUUCAUUAAUUU
rnacentral:lncRNA from 1 species